AUGGCGUCGCCUGGGUCACGGCGGUGGGCGUACAUGCGGAUCAUGGCCGGCACCAUCUUCGGCGGUGACCACGGCUUCUACGUCAUGCACCGCAUCGAGACCUCCAACAAGGAGGGCAAGCUGGAGGAGCUUGAGAAGGGUGUGGAGCCUUCAUGGGAGUGCUUGGUCCACCCGCUCGAGCGCAUCAUCGACAGGCUGAACAUCAUUGACCACAUCAAGGACGUCAAGGACUCGCCCGACCUCUGUGCCGCCAUCGAGGAUGUCUAG
rnacentral:rRNA from 1 species